rnacentral:rRNA from 1 species
CCCCCAGACUCCUACGGGAGGCAGCAGUGGGGGAUAUUGCACAAUGGGCGCAAGCCUGAUGCAGCGACGCCGCGUGAGCGAAGAAGUAUUUCGGUCUGUAAAGCUCUAUCAGCAGGGAAGAAAAUGACGGUACCUGACUAAGAAGCUCCGGCUAAAUACGUGCCAGCAGCCGCGGUAAUACGUAGGAGGCAAGCGUUAUCCGGAUUUACUGGGUGUAAAGGGAGCGUAGACGGCAGUGCAAGUCCGGAGUGAAAGCCCGGGGCUCAACCCUGGGACUGCUCUGGAAACUGUAAAGCUGGAGUGCGGGAGGGGCAGGCGGAAUUCCUGGUGUAGCGGUGAAAUGCGUAGAUAUCAGGAGGAACACCGGCGGCGAAGGCGGCCUGCUGGACCGUAACUGACGUUGAGGCUCGAAAGCGUGGGGAGCAAACAGGAUUAGAUCCCCGAGUA